UCUUUGAUGGUCUAACGGUCAUGAUUUCCGCUUGUCAUUCUAGACAAGUCGCGGGAGAUCGGGGUUCGACUCCCCGUCAGAGAG
rnacentral:tRNA from 1 species